rnacentral:rRNA from 1 species
AACGAACGCUGGCGGCAUGCCUAACACAUGCAAGUCGAACGAGACCUUCGGGUCUAGUGGCGCACGGGUGCGUAACGCGUGGGAACCUGCCCUUAGGUUCGGAAUAACUCCCCGAAAGGGGUGCUAAUACCGGAUAAUGUCUUCGGACCAAAGAUUUAUCGCCUUUGGAUGGGCCCGCGUUGGUUUAGCUAGUUGGUAGGGUAAAAGCCUACCAAGGCGACGAUCCAUAGCUGGUCUGAGAGGAUGAUCAGCCACACUGGGACUGAGACACGGCCCAGACUCCUACGGAAGGCAGCAGUGGGGAAUAUUGGACAAUGGGCGAAAGCCUGAUCCAGCAAUGCCGCGUGAGUGAUGAAGGCCUUAGGGUUGUAAAGCUCUUUUACCCGGGAUGAUAAUGACAGUACCGGGAGAAUAAGCUCCGGCUAACUCCGUG